GCCCGGCUAGCUCAAUCGGUAGAGCGUGAGACUCUUACCCACUCUCCUUCAACAGAGAGCGAUAUCUCAAGGCUGCGGGUUCGACCCCCGCGUUGGGCU